UACGUAGGGUGCGAGCGUUGUCCGGAAUUAUUGGGCGUAAAGAGCUUGUAGGCGGUUUGUCGCGUCUGCUGUGAAAAUCCGGGGCUUAACCCCGGACUUGCAGUGGGUACGGGCAGACUAGAGUGUGGUAGGGGAGACUGGAAUUCCUGGUGUAGCGGUGAAAUGCGCAGAUAUCAGGAGGAACACCGAUGGCGAAGGCAGGUCUCUGGGCCACUACUGACGCUGAGAAGCGAAAGCAUGGGGAGCGAACAGGAUUAGAUACCCGGGUA
rnacentral:rRNA from 1 species